AAGGGAGCAAAAAGCUGGUACCGGGCCCCCCCUCGAGGUCGACGGUAUCGAUAAGCUUGAUAUCGAAUUCAACUCGCUCGCCCAGAGUUUGAUCAUGGCUCAGGACGAACGCUGGCGGCGUGCUUAACACAUGCAAGUCGAGCGAGAAAGCUACCUUCGGGUAGUGAGUAAAGCGGCGGACGGGUGAGUAACGCGUGGGUAUAUACCCUUAAGUCUGGGAUAACUUCUCGAAAGGGAAGUUAAUACCAGAUGAUCUCCUUUUGGAGCAAAGGUGGCUUUUAUGCUAUCACUUAAGGAUUGGGCCGCGUCCCAUUAGCUAGUUGGUGAGAUAACAGCUCACCAAGGCAACAAUGGGUAGCCGACCUGAGAGGGUGAUCGGCCACACUGGGACUGAGACACGGCCCAGACUCCUACGGGAGGCUGCAGUGGGGAAUCUUUCGCAAUGGACGCAAGUCUGACGGAGCAACGCCGCGUGAGUGAAGAAGGUCUUCGGAUCGUAAAGGUCUGUCUUUUGGGAAGCAUACGUUAAUUGUGAAUAACAGUUAGGGUCGCUGUCUCGUUCAACUUGCAUGUG
rnacentral:rRNA from 1 species